CACUAGAUAUUGUUGAAAAGUCGUUAUUUUGUUUUUUUGCCGCACAAAAAGUAUUCUCGUCGCUUUAUAAAAUUAAGGUAGAACCACUGUACUCACAUGAAAUGUUUUAAAUACACUAUAUUGCCAAAAGUAUUGGGACACCCCUCCAAAUCAUUGAAUUCAGGUGUUCCAAUCACUUCCAUGGGCACAGGUGUAUAAAAUCAAGCACCUAGGCAUGCAGACUGUUUCUACAAACGUGUGAUAGAAUGGAUCGCUUUCAGGGGCUCAGUGAAUUCAAGCGUGGUACCGUGAUAGGUUGCCACCUGUGCAAUAAGUCCAUUCCUGAAAUUUCCUCACUACUAAAUAUUCCACGGUCAACUGUUACUGGUAUCAUAACAAAGUGGAAGCAAUUGGGAACAACAGAAACUCAGCCACGAAGUGGUAGGCCACGUAAAAUCACAGAGCGGGGUCAGCGCAUGCUGAGACGCACAGUGCACAGAAGUCGCCAACUUUCUGCAGAGUCAAUAGCUACAGACCUCCAAACUUCGUGUGGCCUUCAGAUUAGCUCAAGAACAGUGCAUAGAGAGCUUCAUGGAAUGGGUUUCCGUGGCCGAGCAUCUGUAUCCAAGCCUUGCAUCACCAAGUGCAAUGCAAAGCGUCGGAUGCAGUGGUGUAAAGCACGCCGCCACUGGACUCUAGAGCAGUGGAGACAUGUUCUCUGGAGUGAAGAAUCACGCUUCUCUGUCUGGAAAUCUGAUGGACAAGUCUGGGUUUGGCGGUUGCCAGGAGAACAGUACUUGCCUGAUUGCAUUGUGCCAAGUGUAAAGUUUGGUGGAGGGGGGAUUAUGGUGUGGGGUUGUUUUUCAGGGGUUGGGCUUGGCCCCUUAGUUCCAGUGGAAGGAACUCUUAAUGCUUCAGCCUACCAAAACAUUUUGGACAAUUUCAUGCUCCCAACUUUGUGGGAAGAGUUUGGGGAUGGCCCUGUUCCAACAUGACUGCGCACCAGUGCACAAAGCAAGGUCCAUAAAGACAUGGAUGAGUGAGUUUGGUGUGGAGGAACUUGACUGGCCUGCACAGAGUCCUGACCUCAACCCGAUAGAACACCUUUGGGAUGAAUUAGAGCGGAGACUGCGAGCCAGGCCUUCUCGCCAACAUCACUGCCUGACCUCACAAACGCACUUCUAGAAGAAUGGUCAAAAAUUCCCAUAAACACACUCCUUAACCUUGUGGAAAGCCUUCCCAGAAGAGUUGAAGAUGUUAUAGCUGCAAAGGGUGGGCCAACUCCAUAUUAAACCCUAAGGAUUAAGAAUGGGAUGUCAUUAAAGUUCAUGUGCACGUAAAGGCAGGCGUCUCAAAACUUUUGGCAAUAUAGUGUAUGUCUUUAGUACCUUUCUGGAUCUUGAGAGAUUCAGUGACAUUGCUGGCAAUGGAGGCCUUAAUGAGCCAUCGGAUUUCAUCAAAAAUAUCUUAGUUUGUGUUCCAAAGAUGAACGAAGGUCUUACGUGUGUAGAACAACAUGAGGGUAAGUAAAAAAAAUGUCAUUUUCAUUUUUGGGUGAACUAACCCUUUAAAAGGUAUUUCGUUUCUCUGAGAAAUUUUGCAUCCGCUCGAAAUAUUAUGUUCCUCCAAAUAACGUUGUUCCUUUGCAAAAAUUUUUCAUUUGCUUUCAAAACUAUUGCGUUCAUCCACGAAACUGCGCUCAAUCACAAAUUUUGUAUACCUCCAAGAAACUUUGCAUUCGCUUGCAAAAUGUUUGCGUUCCUCCAAGAAACUGUUUGCUUGCUAAAGUGUUUAGUUUAGAAACUUUGUGCUCAUUCACAAGUUUUGUGUUCCUCUGAGAAAUUUUGUUUACUCACAAUAUAUUGCAUUCCUCCAAAAAACAUUGUUUGCUCACAAAAGUAUUGCGUUCCUCUGAAAAACAUUACGUUCACUUGCAAAAUGUUCGCGUUUCUCCAAGAAACUGCUCACUCACAAACGUAUUACGUUUCUCAGAAAAACUUUAUGCUCAUUCACAAAAGUUUUUCAUUCCACCGAGAAACUUUGUGUUUACGAGCUAAAGUUUUGCUCCCCCCAAAAACUGUUUUUGCUUGCAAAAGUAUUGCUUUCCUCUGAGAAACAUUGCAUUUGCUUGCAAAUUUUUUGUUUCCCCAAAAGUUUUGCGAGUGAAUGCAAAAGCAUAGAAAUGUAAUUUUUCCUCCCAAUCAUUGUGUCCCUUAAUUGGCUCCAUAACAUAGUCAACUACUACAGUAUAAGAGCCAUAUAGAUUAUCAUAUAGAUUAAAAUUUAAAUUUCAUGAAACAGUUCAAUUUGAAAGGAUUAGUACUGAAAUCAUUUUUGCUCCUAAUAUUAAACAUUCUAAAAUUUCAAUCCCAUCACUGUAAAUUUGUGCCUGGAAAAAAAAAAAAAAAAUUACCCAUGGCAUUCUUUCCAAACAUGUUUAUGCCAGGUCUGUUGCAUAAAACAGUGCAAAGAAGACAGCACUGAGCAAAUGUCACUACAUCACACCACAUUAUUUAUAGAAUACUUGUGCUUUGAGCCAAGAAUAUUUCCAGCAAAAAAAUAACUUAUGGGACUACUAAGCUUGAAGAAGCACAUAUGAGUUAAUGAAAUACUGUAAGACUAAUAUUUAUGUUGUCAUUCACAAGUAUAGCACACAAAUGGCACUGUCCUCUCAUGUUGAUUCUGCUCUUAUGCAACACAUAUUACAUGUGUCUACAUGCUGUAAUACAUAAAACUAAUUGCCACAAUAGCAGAUGGUUAAUUUUACAAAUUUACAGUCUGGAAUGAGACAUAGAUGUAUUCAAAUAACAGUUAUAAUUUUCCUCUCAAUUAUAUUUACAUAACGUUUUUCACAGUACACAUUGUGUCAAAGCAGCUUUAAAGAAUACAAGCUGAGACAACGAGGACAUCGCAAAUGCUGCAAAGUAUGUCUGAGAUUAUGUUUCCAUAUACAGACUAUGUGUGCUCAAAGUAAAAUAUGUCAGUGAGUUUUCAAUUGACAGUUGAGAUUAAUAAAUACAACUUUCACAGUACACUUACCAAACACCAAGUGGUUACAGAAAAAAUGGGUCAACUACAUUUAGUAGUCUUAGAUUCAAGAGCAAAUCUGGGACACUAAAACAGACCAAACACUGCAGUAUGCAGCAAGACACCUUUAGCAUGAAAAAAACAAACAAAAAACAACCUUCUGAAAGUGAUUCCAACAAUAUAGUUUCACUGUGCCAUUACCGUUAUAGUUGUGGUGUGGACUCUGCUGUAUCAUUAUAGUUAUCAGUAUACAGUAGUUACCGUCCUUGGAGUGAACGGGCCUUAAUUGAUUCAAGUGGUGGAUUUUUUGCGAAAAAUGCUUGAUUUUGUAGUGGCUUUAUUUAAAUUUUGUUAUAGAAAUUACAGGUGGCUUUUUAGUGUUUUUUUUUUUUUUUCCUGGAAAGCUAAUUGACUUGGCAAGCACAGAAAUUUUCUUUUAAACUACUCCCUGUGAAAACAUUAUCUAAACACUUUCUACGUUCAAAAGGUAUACGACAGACAACAUUUUGUACACAUUUUUAUUACUUUUCUGACAUUAAGAACCAUUGGUCUCUAAUUUAUAAAGAUAAUAAAUAACAAUUUACAACAAUAAAAUGUCAACAUUUCAUUUAAAAUUUAACACAAAAAUAAAAAUCAUUAAAAAUUCAUUAACAGUUUUCAUUUUAAUGUGUCCAUCAUUUAAUUUACCUAGUUGUAUGUUAAUCUGUCUUUAGCAGUUAUUAAAUCAAUUUUACAGCAUGCAAACAACGCAAACAAUGCAUCAUAUUAACAGGAUUCUAACAAUGAAUGCUUCAUUAUGACAAAAUGCACCCAAUGCAUCAACUUAUGCAAACACUUCAUGUAAAACAUGAAACAUAUCGUUUUGUACAGUUUUUUUGCCAUGAUGUUUCUUGGUAGAUGAGACCUUUUAGCUAUACUCAUAAUUGACGCACUUAUUUUGAAGUGGGCUUUGGCUGAAUGUGUGAUGUCACACGACACGUCUUGGGCCAAAUUCUGUGGAAAAUAUGUGGCAAUUUCAAAAAAUUGCUAGCUUCUGCAAAUAUUGUGGAAAUUUAGCUUGAUUUUGCAUUAUAUUUUGCAAUCACAAAAUCCUGGAGGGACUGAAAUGGCAUGAGCAAAAUGUUUAAAGGUGGGGUAUGUAGUUUUUCAAAAACACUGUUUGGAAGUUAGUUGGGCCGACACCAACAACAAACGUGUAACCAAUCAGCAUUAGGGGGCGUAUGACGGUCGAGGAGAGAGAACGAGCAUGACAAAGACUACAGAAAGAGAGAUGAGACAAUACAAAAGAGCUCAAAAGAAUAUCACUGGAAUGAAGGUUUAUGACUGGGUUUAUGAAGCGCUUUAGGACACACGUUAAUAUUAGAAAAGCUUUCCAGCGCUGGAGAGAGCUACACGAGAAGGCCUGAAAACAGACGCGGAGGCUGCUUUGAGGCUACUUCACAUGAACUAAAUUGGCGUUUAAGAAGCAUUUCACCAUUGUUGUGCCCAGCCUCUGCUGAAAGACACUUGAGAAAGUCAGUUGUGGGCUGUUAAGUUAAGUAUUAAGUAUGAUCUGAGAUCUAUCAUCAGCAGCGUGUCCACUGCACAUUCUUGUGGCUGACACAGGUGUGGUGCUGCAGACCAUUUCAUGGGGGGUGAAUAUAAUGAGGAACUUAUCGCUGGAGCGCAUGUGAAGACAUGCUACGUGUUAAACCAUUGGAAUAAAGGCUUCAUUGAGCACACAGGAAUGCAGGCUGAAGAUGUGGAUGUGGUUCAAAUUCCUGAGCCGCCACCACAUGCUGCAAUGCUGUCAUCAAAGAGAAAACAUGCUAGAAGAAGGAACACUAGAAAAGGAGACUCUGAGACAAAAAUCCCGAAAGGUUUUUGAAUACCCAAGUAUGCAUGUCAUUUCCUGCUCAACCAAUAAAAUAAGAGGAAAUAAUUACAGGACUAAUAAUUACCUACUCGGGCCUAUUCUUUCAGGAUACUAUUCUGGUGUUUAAGUUUUUGAUACAUCAAGUUAUUCUUGUUUGCUCAACCUAGGAGUGUAAAGGGAAAAUGGUAACACUUUAGUUUAAAUACAUUAGUUAACAUGAACUAACAAAAAAAAAAAAAAAACUUCUAAAGCAUUUGUUAUUCUUGAAGUUAAUUGAAGCAUUUACUAAUACAUGACUAAAAUCAAAAAUUGUAUUUGUUAAUAUUAUUUAAUGGACAUGAGCUAACAUGAACUAACAGUUGUAUUUUUUAACUAACUAAUAAUUUAUUAAUAAUUAGUUAAAGAUGAACAAAUGCAUUACUCCUUGUUAGUUAAUGCAUUAACUAAUGUUAACUAAAUGGAACCUUGUUGUAAAGUGUUACUAGAAAUUAAUUUUUUAAAGUAUUUUAAUGACUGACACUUUUUACAUGUCCAAAAAGUGAUAUGCAGUACAAAUUAAUUUAUUUCUGCUUUGUGAUACUAAUAAAUAAUUAUUACACUGCAAAAAUAAAAACACAUGGAUUAUGAAAGAUGACUUGUUUUGAAAAAUAAAGGGUUGCAUAUA